rnacentral:tRNA from 1 species
GCCGGAGUGGCGCAAUUGGUAGCGCGCCCGCCUUGUAAGCGGAUGGUUGUGGGUUCGAGUCCCAUCUCCGGCCCCA